rnacentral:rRNA from 1 species
UAGGGAAUCUUCCGCAAUGGGCGAAAGCCUGACGGAGCAACGCCGCGUGAGUGAUGAAGGUCUUCGGAUCGUAAAACUCUGUUAUUAGGGAAGAACAAAUGUGUAAGUAACUAUGCACGUCUUGACGGUACCUAAUCAGAAAGCCACGGCUAACUACGUGCCAGCAGCCGUGGUAAUACGUAGGUGGCAAGCGUUCUCCGGUAUUAUUGUGGGUAAAGCGCGCGUAGGCGGUUUUUUAAGUCUGAUGUGAAAGCCCACGGCUCAACCGUGGACAGGCACUGGACACUAGAAAACUUGAGUGCAGAAGAGGAAAGUGGAAUUCCAUGUGUAGCGGUGAAAUGCGCAGAGAUAUGGAGGAACACCAGUGGCGGAGGCGACUUUCUGGUCUGUAACUGACGCUGAUGUGCGAAAGCGUGGGGAUCAAACAGG